CUUUUUUGCCGGUUCUUCCCGCUGAGGAAGUGUCGCUCAAGACGCUGGCCUAUGAGUUGUGAUUUCUGCCUUUUCCCCUUCCUCCUUGGGCUAAGCCAGACCAGAAAGGGCCCCGUGCGCAACGUGCUUCACAAUCUCUCAGGGAAAGCGGCUAACGUGGCGCUACUCCGCCUCCCCUGUUCCUUACCCUUGGGGCGGCCGCCAUGUUUCCUGAACACAAAAUGGCGACACGUGAGGAAGACAAACAUAAAGAUGAAGUGCUUAAUUCAAGGUCACACAAUGUCGGGGAUGGACCUCCAGAUUUCCUUACUGGUGAGACGUGGUCUUGUAACACAGUGGUUAAGAAUGUGACUUUGGAGCCAGCCUGCUAGGGGCUGAAUUCUGACUCAGCCAUUUACUAACUGUGUGACCUUAGGUGGAGUCUCACUCUGUAGCCCAAGCUGGAGUGGCGUGAUCUCGACUCACUGCAACCUCCGCCUCCUGGGAUCAAGUGAUUCUCGUGCCUCAGCCUCCUGAGUAGCCGGGACUACAGAGAUGAGAUUUCACCAUAUUACCCAGGCUGUUCUUGAACUCCUAGGCUCAAGUGAUUUGUCUGCCUCAGCCUCCCAAAGUGUUAGGAUUACAGGUGUGAGCCACUGCACCCGGCUGCCUUUUCACUCCUAAUUGUAUCCUCUGUUGCACAGAAAUUUUUAAGUUUGAUGUAGUCCCAUAUGUCUCCUUUUUUUUCCCCAUGCUUUUUAUGAUUUCUAGCAUCUUUUUGUGGGCUUAUUGUGCUUGUAUAUCUUCUUUGGAGAAAUGUCUGUUCAAUUCCUUUGCCCUUUUUUGAAUGGGGUUGUUUGGUUUUUCUGUUGUGGAAUAUUUAAAUUUCUCUAUGUAUCCUCAAUGUUAAGCCAUACUAGAGAUAUGCUUUUCAAAUAUUUUCCCCCAUUCUGUGCAUCACCUUUUUUACUCUGCUGAAAGUGCUGUUUGAUGCAAAAAAGUGUUUAAUUUUCAUGAGGUCCAAUAUAUCUAUUUUUUCUUUUGUUGCCUGUGCCUUGGGUGUUAUAUUCAAGAAAUCAUUGACAAAUCCAAUGAUAUGCUCUUCUACACUCUUAAAAAUUAUAGACAACCCCAAAUAACUUUUAUUUAGUGGUUUUAACAAUAUUUACCAUGUCUGAAAUAUGAUAAACAUUAAAAUUAGUAUUUUGGAAAAAUGCCAUAUUAGAAACUGAUGAUUUAAAAGUAACAACAAUGAAUCCAUUACAUGUGAACAUACUGUUUUUUUGUUUGUUUGUUUGUUUGUUUUGAGACGGAGUUUCACUCUUUUGCCCAGGCUGGAGUGCAGUGGUGCGAUUGCAGCUCACUGUAGUCUUCGCCUCCCAGGCUCAAGUGAUUCUCAUGCCUCAGCCUCCUGAGUAGCUGGGAUUACAGGUGCUCACCACCACACCCGGCUAAUUUUUGUAGAGAUGGGGUUUCACCGUAUUGGCCAGGCUGGUCUUGAACUCCAGACUUCAAGUGAUCCACCCACCUUGGCCUCCCAAAGUGCUGGGAUUACGGGCAUGAGCCACUGCACCAGGCCAACAUACUUUUUAUAAAAACAGCUGUCUUCUCUAAAACAACAAAAAAAUGUAGAUAAUAGUAGUAUCAUUUUAUAGUUUUGCAACUCUCUUUAAUGUUUGGCUUAAUAGAAGAUAGUUGGAUUCUCGUAUCUGUUUUUGUAUUCAGUCUGUUGUGUAUGUUGUUUUGAUUGAAGUAGAUGAAGGAAAUCCAGCUACAUACAGAUUUGGAGUUGGAAAAAAUAGUAUUUUAAUAACCUUUUUAGAUCAUGGUGGAUACUCUUCUUUGUUAUGUCAUCAAAAUUAGACAAAUGGCAGUUUCUGAAAAAUUAGUU
rnacentral:lncRNA from 1 species